GUUAGGAAAAACCAAACAGAAGAAGAGUUAAGAGCGCGAAAUCUGACAGACAUUUGGCACAUAUCUAUGAAUGUGGCCAAAAAUGAACAAGAGAAAGACUGCAGCAGCUGACAUCCGUAAUUACUUUGGAAAGAAUAAGAAACAGAGCGAGUUUCAGCAAGAGGCAGAGAAUCAGACGGAUGUGAGUGAGAGUAGGGUGGACGCUGAGGCUAAAGACCACAUGGGAAAGGAACCAGUUAUUGUUGACCCUAAAACUAGCCCCACCCUCCAGUUACAGAGAUCACAGCCCUGAAAGCUGCUUCCCAGCAACAACUGACCCAAAGAUCAGAGACAUUAGUCACCUAUUCCUUCUCUCCCUAUUCAUUAGCACUGAAGAGAAUAGUAAAAAGGGUCCAUUGGUGCGAGAGAAGGUAUGGAGCAAGCAUGUAUACAUACUGCUUGUGGAAAAAAUUGA